GACGAACGCUGGCGGCGUGCUUAACACAUGCAAGUCGAGCGGUAAGGCCCUUUCGGGGGUACACGAGCGGCGAACGGGUGAGUAACACGUGGGUGACCUGCCUUUAGCUCUGGGAUAAGCCUGGGAAACCGGGUCUAAUACCGGAUAUGACUCCGCGGCGCAUGUUGUGGGGUGGAAAGCCUUGUGCGGCUGGAGAUGGGCCCGCGGCCUAUCAGCUUGUUGGUGGGGUGAUGGCCUACCAAGGCGACGACGGUAGCCGGCCUGAGAGGGCGACCGGCCACACUGGGACUGAGACACGGCCCAGACUCCUACGGGAGGCAGCAGUGGGGAAGUCUUGCGCAAUGGGCGAAAGCCUGACGCAGCGACGCCGCGUGA
rnacentral:rRNA from 1 species